ACACUCCUACGGGAGGCAGCAGUGGGGAAUCUUGCGCAAUGGGCGAAAGCCUGACGCAGCCAUGCCGCGUGAAUGAUGAAGGUCUUAGGAUUGUAAAAUUCUUUCACCGGGGACGAUAAUGACGGUACCCGGAGAAGAAGCCCCGGCUAACUUCGUGCCAGCAGCCGCGGUAAUACGAAGGGGGCUAGCGUUGCUCGGAAUUACUGGGCGUAAAGGGAGCGUAGGCGGACAUUUAAGUCAGGGGUGAAAUCCCGGGGCUCAACCUCGGAAUUGCCUUUGAUACUGGGUGUCUUGAGUAUGAGAGAGGUGUGUGGAACUCCGAGUGUAGAGGUGAAAUUCGUAGAUAUUCGGAAGAACACCAGUGGCGAAGGCGACACACUGGCUCAUUACUGACGCUGAGGCUCGAAAGCGUGGGGAGCAAACAGGAUUAGAAACCCCAGUAGUCCCAUGA
rnacentral:rRNA from 1 species